UUAGUGUGGCCUUGCAGGUGCAGAUAACCACAGAACACACCAAGAGAUCCUCCACCUCACAUUUCAGGGAACUGACACAAUGGCAUGUCUCAGAAUACAGAGUCCCUGUAGAAGGCAGACUGUGGACACAAGUGACAGAAAGCACUAUACUGAGAUGUCAUUUAAGGUUGGAAGUCAGUUCAGUGUACAACCUUUGUGAGGAGCUGGUGUGCUGAUGUGAUGGUGGUGUGAGGUCUCCUGCUGUAGAAUAAUGAUACUUUCAGGAUGACCACUGUAACUGAGGAUCACGCCUGUGUACCGCAUGACAACUUUGUGCCCUCACACAUUUUGAAAAUCAUUAAAGAGGAACUCAAGUUACUGUUUGUCUGUUUUCUCUCUGUGAGAAUGCAUGUGUCUCAGCAUCUGUA
rnacentral:lncRNA from 1 species